AGGAAUCUGUUUGUGUUCAACAUAAAAAAAAAGGUAUUCUGGAUGAAAUUUCAUGUUUCUGAAAUUAUGACAAAUGAUCAAAUAAGAUGGAUCAUGAACCACUAAAUCAAAAUUUUAAUAGAAGAUUUACUAACUCAUUCUUUUCAUAUGCUAUCUGAUUUUGAAGUUUGUUUGUAAUAUGCAUCAAAUAUUUUAUUUUUGGUAAAUUAUAAGACAUCUAAAGUUGGGGCAUUUUGGACCAACUCUCAUCGUGUUGAUAUAAUCAUCGAGUUGAACUUAAUGUUAUCACCGAGUAAUUAGGUCUAGAAUGCAAUAAUAGUCUUUAUGAUUUGGUCACGUAAUUGGCUAGAAAAUAAAAGAGAUCAAAUGGUAAUAAAAAGAAGAAAAAAAAAAGUAUAUACCGAAGCAUCAUAUGGAGAUCAUCUAGUUUGGAAGG